UACGAAGGGGGCUAGCGUUGCUCGGAAUCACUGGGCGUAAAGCGCACGUAGGCGGCUUUUUAAGUCAGGGGUGAAAUCCUGGAGCUCAACUCCAGAACUGCCUGUGAUACUGGGAAGCUUGAGUCCGGAAGAGGUGAGUGGAACUCCGAGUGUAGAGGUGAAAUUCGUAGAUAUUCGGAAGAACACCAGUGGCGAAGGCGGCUCACUGGUCCGGUACUGACGCUGAGGUGCGAAAGCGUGGGGAGCAAACAGG
rnacentral:rRNA from 1 species